rnacentral:rRNA from 1 species
AUCGAACGCUGGCGGCAGGCCUAACACAUGCAAGUCGAGCGGGGCUUUCGGACCUAGCGGCGGACGGGUGAGUAAUGCGUAGGAAGCUACCCGAUAGAGGGGGAUACCAGUUGGAAACGACUGUUAAUACCGCAUAAUGUCUACGGACCAAAGUGUGGGACCUUCGGGCCACAUGCUAUCGGAUGCGCCUACGUGGGAUUAGCUAGUUGGUGAGGUAAUGGCUCACCAAGGCGACGAUCCCUAGCUGGUUUGAGAGGAUGAUCAGCCACACUGGAACUGCGACACGGUCCAGACUCCUACGGGAGGCAGCAGUGGGGAAUAUUGGACAAUGGACGCAAGUCUGACCCAGCCAUGCCGCGUGCAGGAUGAAGGCGUUAUGCGUUGUAAACUGCUUUUAUACAGGAAGAAACGACUCUUGCGAGAGGCAUUGACGGUACUGUAUGAAUAAGCACCGGCUAACUCCGUGCCAGCCGCCGCCGUAACAC